GACGAACGCUGGCGGCGUGCUUAACACAUGCAAGUCGAACGGAAAGGCCCUGCUUUUGUGGGGUGCUCGAGUGGCGAACGGGUGAGAAACACGUGAGUAACCUGCCCUUUACUUUGGGAUAACUUCAGGAAACUGGGGCUAAUACCGGAUAGGAGCUCCUGAUGCAGGGUGGGGGUUGGAAAGUUUCGGCGGGUGGGGUUGGAGUCGCGGCUUAUCAGCUUGUGGGUGGGGUAGUGGCUUACGCAGGCUUUGACGGGUAGCCGGACUGGGAGGGUGACCGGCCACAGUGGGACUGGGAGACGGCCCGGACUGAAUCUGGGGGCAGGGGUGGAGACUAUUGCCCGAAGGGCGGAGGCCGGAUGGAAGAACGCCGCGUGCGGAAUGACGGCCUUCGGGUAGUAAAACGAUUUCGCCUGUGACGAGGCGUGAGGGCCGGAACUGGAGAAAAAGGCACCGCCUAAUUACGU
rnacentral:rRNA from 1 species